rnacentral:rRNA from 1 species
AUCUAUGGCCAUGUCACCCUGAACAUGCCAGAUCUCAUCUGAUCUCGGAAGCAAGGUCGGGCCUGGUUAGUACUUGGAUGAGAAACCACCUUGGAAUACCAGGUGCUGUAGGCG